rnacentral:rRNA from 1 species
CAGAGGGUGCAAACGUUGUUCGGAAUUACUGGGCGUAAAGCGUGUGUAGGCGGCUGCGUAAGUCGGAUGUGAAAGCCCCAGGCUCAACCUGGGAAGUGCACUCGAUACUGCGCAGCUUGAGUAUCGGAGAGGUUGGUGGAAUUCUCGGUGUAGAGGUGAAAUUCGUAGAUAUCGAGAGGAACACCGGUGGCGAAGGCGGCCAACUGGACGAAUACUGACGCUGAGACACGAAAGCGUGGGGAGCAAACAGGAUU